rnacentral:rRNA from 1 species
UACGAAGGGGGCUAGCGUUGCUCGGAAUUACUGGGCGUAAAGCGCACGUAGACGGUCUUUUAAGUCGGGGGUGAAAUCCUGGAGCUCAACUCCAGAACUGCCUUCGAUACUGGAAGACUUGAGUCCGGGAGAGGUGAGUGGAACUGCGAGUGUAGAGGUGAAAUUCGUAGAUAUUCGCAAGAACACCAGUGGCGAAGGCGGCUCACUGGCCCGGUACUGACGCUGAGGUGCGAAAGCGUGGGGAGCAAACAGG